rnacentral:rRNA from 1 species
GCGCGAAAACUUUACAAUGCUGGCAACAGCGAUAAGGGGACCUUGAGUGCCAGGAUACAAUCCUGGCUGUCGUGAUGCCUAAAAAGCACUAUAUAGCAAGGGCCGGGCAAGACCGGUGCCAGCCGCCGCGGUAACACCGGCGGCUCGAGUGGUAACCGCUAUUAUUGGGUCUAAAGGGUCUGUAGCCGGCUUGGUUAGUCUCUUGGGAAAUCCGGCAGCUUAACUGUCGGGCUUUCAGGAGAUACUGCCAGGCUCGAGACCGGGAGAGGUGAGAGGUACUUCAUGGGUAGGGGUGAAAUCUUGUAAUCCUUGAAGGACCACCAGUGGCGAAGGCGUCUCACCAGAACGGAUCUGACGGCAAGGGACGAAAGCUAGGGGCACGAACCGGAUUAGAUACCCGGGUAGUCCUAGCCGUAAACGAUACUCGCUAGGUGUCGGCCACGGUGCGACCGUGGUCGGUGCCGUAGGGAAGCCGUGAAGCGAGCCACCUGGGAAGUACGGCCGCAAGGCUGAAACUUAAAGGAAUUGGCGGGGGAGCAC